UCACAUCUAGCUAAUGAUUUUUCAUUUGUUUCCCUCACCCAUUCUUCAAACUGCUUAAGCUGUAGGCUUAAGAUUUCAUUUGUAAGUACAACAGGAGAUGCAGAAGAGAUGAGUUCUCUUGGGCUGGUAUCUUGCCCAUCCACGCAAUUUUUAUUGCUUUUUAAACAGGCUAUUAAGGAGCAGAUUCCAAGCACAGGUCUCUCCUGCCUGGAAACAAAACAUACUACUAAUCUCUUUCAGUCAGGUGUGUGAGCAAAACCUUGACAAGGUUGACAGGAUGCCUGAAGCUGUUAGCUCAGUGUUACUGUUAGGUAGUAAUGAUCAGCUAGCAGUAUCUGCUGGGUUGGUUUGGCAGGACUACAAGGUGUGCUUGGUAGGGCUGUUUGUUAGUUCUUGGUGGCAUUGUUGGUGUACUCUCUCUGUACCUAUUCCUUUGCUACUUAUCUCACAGUCCAAAAGUCAGCAGGCAGGAGCCAGCAUCCUCAUUAAACUAUUAGGUAGUACUCUCUAAUGCUGCUAGACAUCAUCCAGUUCUGUUGAAUAAUUAAUCCGUGAGGAAGAGGUUAGUAAGAGCAAUUUAUACCAAACUGAGACCAGCUCCCUGACUGUACUCAAAGAAAAUACACAAGCAGACACAAAGUGAAGAUUAAAAAAGGCAGCCACAGGAUUUGCCAGUUUUUGAGAGCCUACAAAAAUGGGAUAUCAGCUCAAGCAUCAACCAAUGCAAUAAAAGCCAUUUAUCUUGGAAGACUUUUAACUUCAUCCUCUCCAAGAACUCUGCAAGAUUCUCUGCACCUUCUGGCUCAUUCUACGGAGCUGAAACCUCUGGACCAUAGCAACAAGGAACAGAAGAUUCUGGAGGAAGAAGCAGACAGUGCACUGCAUUGAGCAGGUACACAGCCUGCCUAGCGGGAAGAGGAGAAGGAGACCAGUGACAGGCAGCCUCCUAGGACCUGCAAGCACUCCCCAGCAGCUGCAAGCCUAUCACAGGCUAGCUACAAGAGACACAAAUACAGGUCACUGGUUCUUGGUGGAUGAAAAAGAGAAACAAAUAACACUUAGGGGACUGAAUUUUUUUCCACAUGCCAUAAAUAUAGGGUUAAGGAAGAUGAUACGUCUAUCUGCCAUGGACUGUCAAAGCCCAGGAAGAAACAGAAAACAAAAAGCCCAAUGAAAUAAGGAGUACCAAAAGGAAGAAACACAGUAACCACAAUGAAUCACCACAUUUCCAACUGCGAUAGAGACUAUUUGCAGUCUACACACACAGCUCCUCACAAACAGUGGCCUCUACUCAUGGAAAAUAUCAAACCAGACCGUUUCACCUGCCUGACUCAUGUUCAUUGCUUCAGCACCAGCUUCCCACUGCUGCUUCCCCACUGGGGCUCACUCAAUCCUCUGUGCCAGUGACUGGCUGAGCUGAAGCACUUGAACUCACAGCUUCAAGCUCUGGGUCCCUCAGUCAUCACCCAGCCACAUCCUUAUGAAGGUCUGCAAAGUCCUCAGCAGCAGCUCCUGUCAUUCCCCUGUACAGGUAGCAGUAACAACUGAGAACCAAGCUGGCCAAAGGGAUUCAAAGCCAUGUUCUCAUCCUGCUUGCAAUGCUGCUGUACACCUUGUCAGUACAGUAUUCCUGGAUUGGUUGUUUCAGGUGUGAUCUGGACUAUAGUACUCUGCCUUCCUUCCCCUGGGCUACUUUGAGGGCAGCUACUGCCACCAGUUAAUCUCCUGGAGGGAAGGUCACUAUGGAGCCAGGGUUUAAAGUGUCCUGUUACUUCAGAGAUUGGCUUUUUGGUGGCUGUAAGAAAAGGGAUUCAACAUGCUAAGCCUGUCUCUGCAUAUUUUUGAAAUCUUACUAAAUUGCCAGCUUGACAGAGGAGAAAAGUCAUUUAUAUAACAUUAUGCUAACAUAAUGAAUUUCUUAGUGUUGCUGGUAAGCCCUCUGUACUAAGUGAAUCUUUUAACAUCAGUGUCAUGAAGAAUAUGCACAUUGUCUUUGGCAAUAAAACAGCAUUGUUCAACUUUUCACUAGUUUACUGAGAAAUAGUAUACUGAGAAAGUUUAUUUCCCUUUGAGUAAUUCUCAGUUGUUCCAGAAAUGACAGGGCAGCAGUUACUUUGAGGAAAUAUCCUCUUUGCUUUUUACUGUCUUUGAUUAAAAAUUACAUGAUGGAUCACUGUCAUCACCAGGAGAAAAAGGUUGGAACUUUAGGAACCAGUAAAUUUAAGUGUAGGUUAACUUUUGCAGUAAUCUAUAGCAGACUGGAUGGCCAACACACAUGAGUGAUUUGUUUUGUGCCCAUUUAUUGCUGUCAGGCUGCUGAGCACGGGCCAUAGAUUGCACAGGGGAAAACUUCAGCAGUUCCUAGCAAUUCCACUGAUACUUUGGAGCUUCGCACAUGCAUGAUCACUGCAUGCACAUUAAAAAUCUCCAUAAGAAUUGAGACAUAAGUGUAAUCCCACCAGUUCCAGUGUAACACUACUGGAAUUGUCCAGAGACUAGGAAUUACAGAGUGGAUUGUGACAAGAUGAGGUACUUUUUUUUAGUCAGUCUUGUUCCAACAAGAUCACUAUACUGGGGUAUACUAAAAAUUUUGCCCUGGAAAAAAGGGACAGAAUCAGAAUCUAAUCUGGGCUUGCUGCUGUCCCCAUCCCCCUCCUCUCUAAAUAAAAAUAAAAUGUAAUCCAUUAAAAAUUUGUCCUACUUCGAUAUGGUCAUUGCUAAAGCAGUAACAUGCUUUCCUGGCUGCCCCAACCCUUCUGCCCACAAUAAAGGCAGUUUCUUUUCAACAAGGUACUCAGGACAAAGGAAGAAAGCCUAUGACCAAAGCACUUCUGGAUAGUAGUGAUUGUGUCUCAGUUAAAACAGGAUAAUUUUGAGACUUAUAAAAUGUUGGCUUAUAUGAAGAUAUUUCAUAUACUAAAAGUCAUUCAUAGAUUUGGGAAAAAUCAACUAAAGUAAUUUUGGAGCUAGAUCCAAGCACAGAAAAAUAUGGUUGCAGUAAUCAGUCUUUGCUGAGAUGCUCCUAAGCUGUUUUGGUUUUCUUUAAUUCAUGUAUUAUUAUAAUAAGCAAAGAAGAAAAAUCUCAACAGCUUAAAAACUCAUCUGAGCUUUCACAUGGGGAAAACAGAGGCUUUCUCUUUUGUUUUAAAUUCAAGCUAACCAAAAACAUAAAGAAAUCUACAUACCCUGUGGCAUCUCCAAAUGAAGAUUUGCUAUUGUAUUUUUACAUUGGUCUUUUCCUAUCUGCUCAAAUCACUUAGUUGAACAAAUUAGCUCAGUGCAUUAAGCAUGGUGUUAAUAACACCGAGGUUGUGGGUUUGGUCCGUCACUUAAGAGCUAGACUUUUUGGUACUUGUGUGUCUGUUUCAACUCAGAAUAUUCUGUGAUUGAGAAACUGAUGAGCAUCAGUUUUAGCCAUGUGAAUCAUCUUUCUGACAAGCAGCAGAAUAGAGUCUCAAGUCCUCAAGUUAAUUUUUAAAACUGGCAGUAAAAUAUAUAAAUGGAAUGUGUCUAGAAAGAACACACUUUAAACUGGAAAAACCAAAAGCAAGAAUUCCUGCUUAGCUUCUGUAGCAAAUCUGAUCCUUAGACAUAAAAAACCAAAUGAGGUAUUAGAGAAGAGCAAAUAGGCAGCUUGUCUUGGACUUGGACUUUCAGUUUAAAUUAUGCCAGAUGUGGGAAGUGCCAUCUGCUUUAGAUUCAUGUAAUACUCUCUGGCUAUGUUGUCUGUGUUACUAAUAUUGUACCAUUCUUCAUAAUAAGUUUGUAAGGUUGGCCAAGGUUAAGUUCUAAUUGCAUCAGCAACUGCUUGAUUCAUAGCUCAGUAACACAUGCCUGUGUCAGUGAAUCUCAGCUUGCUAAAUCCUUCUUUGUGAGGACAGGAACAUUCAUGGACAUCAGCAAAAGUGAUUGUGUACUUCCACUAGCAUAUGAAAUAGUUGACUAUUUUCAAAAUAAUAAGUUUAACCAUUAUUAAUUUAAAACCAAAAUCAUAUUAAAAAGUGCAGUUAAACUUUUUUUGAUAGGGGCAGGAAAAAAAAAUGUUCAAGCUCAGUGCUGAUAUCCCUAGAAAUCUUGAACAUGGGUGCUAUGAGUUGUAGUGGUAUAAGUGCCUUGAGAGUGCCCUGCCAAUAAACUAUUACUCUUUUCUUAAAAGUGAGAGUAUUCACCCUUUGACCAUCUGAUUCUGCGACAUUUUCUGUAAUAGUAAACUUUAGG